UACGGAGGAUGCAAGCGUUAUCCGGAUUCAUUGGGUUUAAAGGGUGCGUAGGCGGGCUAUUAAGUCAGUGGUGAAAUCCUGCGGCUCAACCGUAGAACUGCCAUUGAAACUGAUAAGCUUGAAUACAAUUGAAGUAAGCGGAAUGAGUAGUGUAGCGGUGAAAUGCAUAGAUAUUACUCAGAACACCAAUUGCGAAGGCAGCUUACUAAACUGAUAUUGACGCUGAGGCACGAAAGCGUGGGGAGCGAACAGGA
rnacentral:rRNA from 1 species